rnacentral:rRNA from 1 species
CCUACGGGAGGCAGCAGUGAGGAAUAUUGGUCAAUGGACGCAAGUCUGAACCAGCCAUGCCGCGUGCAGGAAGACGGCGCUAUGAGGUGUAAACUGCUUUUGUACGAGGGUAAACGCAGAUACGCGUAUCUGUCUGAAUGUACCUUACGAAUAAGGAUCGGCUAACUCCGUGCCAGCAGCCGCGGUAAUACGGAGGGUUCAAGCGUUAUCCGGAUUUAUUGGGUUUAAAGGGUGCGUAGGCGGUCGGAUAAGUUAGAGGUGAAAUCCCGGGGCUCAACUUCGGAAUUGCCUCUGAUACUGUUCGGCUAGAGGGUAGUUGCGGUAGGCGGAAUGUCUGGUGUAGCGGUGAAAUGCUUAGAGAUCAUGCAGAACACCGAUUGCGAAGGCAGCUUACCACGCUACUUCUGACGUUGAGGCACGAAAGCGUGGGGAGCAAACAGGAUUAGAUACCCGUGUAGUC